UUUCUGCAAGUGGUAAAAGAAAUGAGAAAACCUCAGCACACCCCUGAACUCCUGAAAUUGAAAAGCAUCUUGAUUUUUUUUUUAGUUAUUGAUUUUUAAAAAGCGAUGACAAAACCCAAAUGUUUGAUGGGGCUGUGAAGGGAAGAAAGAGGAAUGAAAUAAUACUGCAAAAAGCUCUUUGGUCCCACGUUUCAUAACUAAUGUUUUACUCCAAAUGAACAAGGAUCUUGAAGACAUCGAAAGUGCCUUGACAUCGCUCAAUAGACCAUGACAGCCUCCUUCAUUCUUCAUAUUUCUUGAAGCAGAGACAUCCAGUGAAGGAAAAAACACAGAACUGUAGUAAACAGACAUCAGAAAAGUGA